AAUAAAAACUGAAAUAUAAAGCCUGAAUUUUCAUUCAAAGCUCUCAAUUGAGCAUUCAGAAAUUAUGAAAAGAUAUUAUGAAGUAUAUUUUGUUAAAAAAUCUCGUUAUCUAGAAAACCGGAAGUUUAAAUGAAGAUACAAUUGACUGAACUGUUUGCUACGCAAUACCAAAUGUGGAACAUUUAAUUCAACUCUGUGGAUAUGAUAUCCCUUCAAAGGACAAUCUAUGCUGCAGUAAUGGGUGCUGUAACUACAUACCUUGUCAUACUCGUACAGCUCAAGAAAUAGAAGCUUCACCAACACGCGAUAUGAGCAAGAUAUAUGCAUUUCAACAACAAUUAACCUAUUUAUACAUUAUAUCAAACAUGAAUUCAUUGGAAAAUUAUUUUUUCUUUCAUCAUCCUGUACAACAUAUUCAACCCUAUCCAUCAAAAUAAAAUAGAUGUGUGGUUA